rnacentral:rRNA from 1 species
AACCUCCUGAACUGAAGCAUCUCAGUAGGGAGAGGAAAAGAAAUCAAUCGAGAUUCCGUUAGUAGUGGCGAAUGAACACGGAAUAGGACAAACCGAAUCUCUAUGGGAAACCUUAGAGAAAUGUGGGGUAAGGAUCAUCUGUAGUCUAAGUGCAGGAAGUGGAAGUCGUCCUGGAACGGCGCACCACAGAGGGUGAAAGUCCCGUACACGUAUUGCAUAUGGCCAAGUGAUGAAUCCUGAGUAGCGUGCGUUGGAUAUCGCGCGUGAAUAUGGGAGGCAGAGACUUCCAAUCCUGAAUACUACUCGAGACCGAUAGUUGACAAGUAGCGUGAGCGAAAGCUGAAAAGUAUCCUUAGCGGGAUGUGAAAAGACCCUGAAACCAGUCGGGAACAAGCUGAAUAGGCGUGAAAGCGAAGAUAUGAGCAGCGUCUAUUCUUGCGUUUCGAAAAAUGCCCCUGGGAGUUCUGAUCAUUGGCGAGGUUAAGCAGUUGAACUGCGAAGCCGAAGGGAAACCGAAAGGUCCGCAGCCGCGUAAGCGGUCAGGGACUGGGUGCGCUCGCCCGGAGUCAAUGGUGGGAGACCUGAAGCCUAUCGAUCUAUGCCUGGCCAGUCUGAAGCCCGAUGAAAAUUGGGUGGAGGGACGAACCGUUGCUGAUGUGCAAAUCGCUCGGAAGAGUUGGGUAUAGGGGUGAAAGUCCAAUCGAGAUGGGCAAUAGCAGGUUCCGCGCGAGACUACUCGUAGGUAGACCUCCGUAGAGAUAGAAUGCGAGGUAGAGCACUGAUUGGGUGUUUAGGGGGAGCAAUCCCUCGGCACGCUGUCAAACUCCAAAGUUGCAUUCGUCGUAGAAGCGGGGAGUGAGCCACGGUGGGUAAGCUACCGUGACGAAAGGUGAAGAAACCAGCUCAGCGUUAAGGUCCCAAAAUUUCAGUUAAGUGUUAAUCACAAACGGCGUCCGUGGUCGAAGACAACCAGAAGGUGGGCUUAGAGGCAGCCAUCCUUGAAAGAGUUCGUAACAGAUCACUGGUCAAGCUUGCGGGCCCGAAAAAUGGACGGGACUCAAACUGAAUACCGAUACGCUGACCCUCCGAAAGGAGAUGGGGUAGCGCGGCGACAUGGUCGGGUAGAAGCUAGGUCGUGAGAUCUAGUGGACCGUCUAUGUAUGAGAAUCCAGGGAAGAGUAGCAGCAUAGUGCGGUGAGAAUCCGCACCACCGAAGGGGCCAGGGUUCCUCGGCAAUGUUCAUCAGCCGAGGGUUAGCCGGUCCUAAGGACAUUCUUAACCGAGAUGUUCGAAAGGGAAAUGCGUUAAUAUUCGUAUGCCCCUCUGCAAAUCUGGUAACGGCUCGGGCUAGUUCGUGCAUUCCUGUCAUGGGAUGUCGAAGCGUUCGAUAAUCGAUUGGAGAACCGUAAUGGUGAGAAGAUCGAGAAGGCGUGAGCAAAAGACGAAUGAGGCCAGGGUCCCGUGAAAAGCCGCAGAGGUGACCGUACCGAGAACUGACACAGGUGCCCCUGGGUGAGCAGCCUAAGGUGUGACGGGCAAAGUACCGCGAAGGAACUCGGCAAAAUAGCUCUGUAACUUCGGGAGAAGGAGUGCCAGCUUAGAGAUAAGCUGGUCGCAGUAACAAGGGGACUCCGACUGUUUAAUAAAAACAUAGCCGACUGCUAGUUCGAAAGGAUGUGUAUAGUCGGUGAAUCCUGCUCAGUGCCGGUAUCUGAAAUUGGGUUUCAACCUGACGAAGGACCGGUAAACAGCGGGGGUAACUAUGACCCUCUUAAGGUAGCGUAAUACCUUGUCGCUUAAUUGGCGACUUGCAUGAAUGGCACAACGAGAGUCCCACUGUCUCCGCGGUACGUCCGGCGAAAUUGACUAUUACUGGCGCACAGUCCAGUAACCUCAACCUGCAAGCGAAGACCCCGUAGAGCUUUACUG